rnacentral:misc_RNA from 1 species
UAAGAAUGGGCCGGCACCUAAUAUUAAUGGAUUCAAUCUAAGUUUGAAUGAAUUGAGCUUGGAUCUUAAUGGGUGGGACAUGAAUGUUAAUGGUGUUAAUUCAAGUGCAACUUCAAUAAAUAUGGGUCUGGUUGAUGAAAAUAGAGAAGUUGAUGAUGGUGAUGAAGAUGGUUGGGAGUUCAAGGAUGCACAGCCCAAAACUUCAAUGGCUGAUGAGAUUUCUGAGGCAAACCAAAUCAAGACUGAGAAUGGGCCAGUAUCUAAUCUCAAUGGAUUCAACUCAAGUUGGAAUAAAUUGAGCCGGGAUUUUAAUGGGUUGAACUCAAAUUUCAGUAGUGUUAAUUCAAG